AUACGUAGGGUGCAAGCGUUAAUCGGAAUUACUGGGCGUAAAGCGUGCGCAGGCGGUUAUUUAAGACAGAGGUGAAAUCCCCGGGCUCAACCUUGGAACUGCCUUUGUGACUGCAUAGCUAGAGUACGGUAGAGGGGGAUGGAAUUCCGCGGGUAGCAGUGAAAUGCGUAGAUAUGCGGAGGAACACCGAUGGCGAAGGCAAUCCCCUGGACCUGUACUGACGCUCAUGCACGAAAGCGUGGGGAGCAAACGGGAUUAGAUACCCUGGUAGUCCACGCCCUAAACGAUGUCAACUGGUUGUUGGGUCUUCACUGACUCAGUAACGAAGCUAACGCGUGAAGUUGACCGCCUGGGGAGUACGGCCGCAAGGUUGAAACUCAAAUGAAUUGACGGGG
rnacentral:rRNA from 1 species